rnacentral:lncRNA from 1 species
CAACUGUAAAAUGAGUAUUGAUGCCAAAGGCUUACACUUUGAUUUAUAUUGGAAAGUUAGGGUUUCGAUUCAACUAAGAAGCAAGGUUGUUUGUAGAAGUGAUUUAUAAUCACACUCAAUGUUAAACAUCGUGGGAGUGCUUUGAUCUGUAGUGUUUGGAAAGAACACACUCCUCAAGCAUGGAUGGAAGAAACUCCUCUUGUUUGAUUCCAUUGUGAGUAUUCUCUUCUCAGAAAUAACUAUGACAAAACUAUUAUAUUCAUAAUUAAUAUUAGAAACUUUUCGAUUAAUCUUCACAUUUUUCAACUAACAUAAGAAGCUCUUACUUCAAAAAGAAUAUGUUCAACCAAACUAUUGAUAUUUACUAUUGUAGAAUAUAACAAUAAAUUGCACAUAUUUUGUACAAAAAAAAUUAAUUAGAUUAAAUAAAAUGUACAAGUGUAAAAAAUACACACAUUAAUUGUACAAGUAUAACUACAUGAAAAUAAAUUAAAAAUAACAUUACCAAAAGCUAAUAAAAUAUUUUUAAUAUAUAUGUAUAUAUACACAUAAUAAAAAUAAAAUUUAGAUUACAUAAUUAAACAAACUAUCAGUAUUUAAACAAUUCUCAUAUUGAAUAAAUGCAUAAAUGUCAAGUAGAUAUUACAAAUAAUAAUUCAAAUAAAAAUAUAUAUAUAAAAUAUUAUAAAAUAUACAUAUUAUAUUAUAUUAUUUUAUAUUGUAUUGUAUAUUUUAUUUUAUUUUAUUUUAUAUAUUUUAUUAUAUUAUAUGAAUAUAUAUUAUAAAAUAAUAGUGUGAAUUUAAUUUUUAUGAAAUAAUGAUUUAAAUUUUUAUUUUGAAAGAAAUAAUAAACAUAAUGUUAUUUUAUAUCUUUAGAAAUUAUAUACAUAGUAUUAUAUAUUUGAAAUAUUUUUAUUUGGGUAUAAUUAUUCAAUAUGAUAAAUUUGAUUUAUAUAUGUAUAUUUUUUUAAUUUCUUAAACAACUUCAUGAAAUCAAAAAGAUGUUAAAUGGUAUCCAUCAAAAUAUUUAAUUUAUGCUUAGCAUUAAGGUGAUUGAUAAGUCUUUAUAGACAUCCAAGUUUUUUAAAUCUUGAAAAGAAAUAAAUUAAAUUAUUCAAUUUAUAUUCAUAUUUUUAAAAUAAUUGUAGAACAGACAUAUACAAUUCUAUUGACUAUAAAAUUGAUCUCUAAUAAUAUUAUUAAGUAUCAAGAAUGUGGUUUAAGAUUGUGGUACUAGAUAAAUUAGAUUUUGUUAUAUUUUUAAAAAAUCAUGGAAUUAUUACAUAUCUUCACCUUAAAUUUAUGUCAUAAGGGUUGUAAAAAUCUAUAAGAUUUAUUUAAGUAUUUUUAAAACAUUGGUUUGUAAAAUGAAAAUUUAGAAUACAAAUCUUCCACCUUGCAAAAGAAAAAUUUCGAAGGCAUAACACGAAAAUAUUACAAAAGGGAACAGAAGUAAGUAUUGAAUGAGUAAUUUUUUUAAAUCAACUUUUUUCUUAUUCUUAUCAUUUGAUUGUUGGUCCUUUCUUUAUUCUUAUCAUUUGAUUGUUGGUCCUUUCUUUAUUCUUAUCAUUUUAGUUAAGUAAAGCACUAUUACAAAUACAAAAUUUUGGAGAUUUAAUCUUAAAAUAUAUUUCCAAUAAAGACAAUUUAAAGUGGAUGAUUUUUUUUUUUUUUUUUUUUUUUUUUUUAAAUCUUAGAGAAGUUUGUGUACAUAAUGAUAAAAUAAUGUAUUCAAGGACGAGUAGUAAAAUUGUUUGAACUUUUCUUUGCAUUCCAGGACACAAAAAUCUCUUAAAAUAAGCUCACAAAAAAUUUUGAAUUCAAAAUAAAAUAUUUUUAGAAGAAAAAAAUUGUAUUUAGGAUGUAUAUAAUUGCAAUUGAUUUUUUGAAAGAUACAUCAAAUGUCUUUUUACGAUUUUUUUUUUAAAUAAAAUUUUCUUAAAUAUUACAAAUAUUACAAAAAGAUUAUGUUCAAACAAUUUAUUGGCAUGAUUAAAUAAAUUUUAUCGAUUCCUUUCUUUUUCUUUUUCCUUUUUUCCCCUAAAUCAUCAAAACAAUUCUUCUUCUUCUUCCUCUUCUUUUCCAAGAAAAACGUGUAUAAAUAAAAGUCACAAAAACACACAUGUUCAAAUGGACUUUGUAACAAUUUAAUUCAUGUUCUGUUAUAGAAUACUGGAAAUUCUUAAAACUACUAUAUAUUGUGGCUUAACUAUUUAGAAUUGAUUGCGAAUUCUAAAUUAUUAUUAAACUUAUUCAAAAGCUUAAGAUUCUUUAUAGGUUCAGUGUGUAUUGGUGGAACUGCAAAUAAUACAACACAAGAUUAAUUUACUUCAAGAUGGUCAAUGUACUCAAAUUUUGUUUUGUCUAAAAAUUUCUAAGAAUGAGUUCUCUUGGUGUUUGAUCUGAAAUACUAUAUUCCUUAUAUCAUAGAGAAUAUAUAUAUAUAUAUAUUUAUGGAAUUUAUUAUUAGGUAUUUUAUUCUCAUUUUAAUAUUAAUUUUAAAUUAUUUUUUGAAUUGCAAUUCAAAACACUAAUCCAUAAAAGUUUUUUAAAAAAUCAAAACUAAAAUUUAAAAUUAAUUAUUUUAUAAAAGAAAAAAUUUAAAAUUAAAAUAAAAAAUAUUUUAAAAAACAUAUUAUUAUUUAAUAUUAUGCAUUUUACAAAUUAUAUACAAACACACACACAC